ensembl:lncRNA
AGGUUCUCCUCCAUCUUCCUCCAUGGCAGGCUGUUUGAAGAAAGGGGCGUGAGAAUUAAUUAUAAUAUUACGAUAUUUAAAUGAUGAUGGGAAAAUUUAUUAUAAAUGAUUGUAUCAAAAAUGAAUGAAUGAAAGAAACACAAGAAGUUAUCAUACAUGUAUAUAUGUAUUUAGACUUUUUAACGGUACUGUAUGAUAUAUAUAUAUAGAUAGAUAGAUAGAUAGAAUAUCUAAUGAAAAUAUUCAUUAAAAUAAGGUUUCAAUCAAUUAUGAACAAGCAACAGUUGAACUUACUUGGCUUGCUCACGUAACAUUAUAUUAAUAUUAGUCACAUGGCACUCUAAAGAGGAAGACCAACCUGAUUGAAACCACUUUCUUUACCUGAACUCUCUGUUCUUGAGUAGGCCUACAUAGAGAAGUGACACCUUUCUUUACCUGAACUCUGUUAUUCGGCUCUGGAUAGACCGAAACAAUUCUUCCUCUCCUGAACGUUAAUAUCCAUUAAUGCUGAGGAUGCUGUCUUAACAGUAACUGAAAAACUUUAAAUGAGUGCAAAUACAUUUUUUAAGUCAGACUCCCAGUGACAUUUCACCGUUUUAAGGGCCUUUACAUGGGAGCGCCGUUGUAAGCCCUGGUAAUUAAUAAGGCCAAGCAAAUGAUCUGUAUCAAGUGUUUGUUGUCUGGAUGUUCCUCAAAUCUACUGCUCAAACAAUGCUGAGCUGUGGACGAUGUAAACCUGUGUUAUGUGGUUGAUGUGAUUAAAGGGUGAGACUGGAGACUGAGGAAACGGACCAAACACAGGAGAUUAGUACUGAAGUGUCCCGCAAGAAGUGGAAAUACUUGCGUGAUAAAUAUUUGAAGGAGAGGAAGGCAGAGAGGGACAGAAAAAAAAAUGGGGCCGGUGCCACCUCUUUCAAGAGGUGGAAGUAUAUGGCCAUCAUGGGCUUCCUGGAGCGCCAUGUGAAGGAGAGGGUGACAGCCAGCAAUAUGGAGCAGGGAGAGUAUAGCCAGGAUAGCCAGGAGAUAGCACCGGAGAUCUUGGCCCUGCUAGCGCCCAGUAUGUCUCCCCAACAAGAGGUGGUGGCUCAAAGUGAAGAGGAGAUAUCUCCUCCCUCUUCCAGCCUCUCACAGUCCGCUGCGGACACCUCUCCUCCAUCUCCUCCCACUACCUCUACGGUGGCUCUGGUCACACCGCUGCGUCCUGCACCUCCACCACCACGGAGGAGACAGCUGGAGCAGCCGCUGUCUGCGUUCCAGAAAUCAAUCAUGUCCUCCAUCCAAAAGGAAAAGGAGAAUGCACUGGCUGUUGACGAGGAUGAGCAUUUUAUGCUCAGCCUCGUCCCAUCGUUGAGGAGGCUGUCACACCAAAAAAAGGCCCAGGUGCGCAUGAGGAUGCAGCAGGUCCUGUACGAUGUGGAGUUUGGAGAGUAAUGAAUUUGUAACCAAUUUCUAUUUAGAUUUAGUUUCAGCUUUAAGAUUUUUUAAAUGUGUACAUAUCUUGGAAUCAUUUUCUAUUUAUAUUUAGUAUAAGCUAUAAGAAAUAUUUAAAUGUGUACAUAAUAUCUUGGAAUCAAUUUCUAUUUAGAUUUAGUACAAGCUAUAAGAAAUGUUUCAAAUGUGUACAUAAUAUCUUGGAAUCAUUUUC